AACUCCGACCCAUGCGACGGUCCCCCGGUUUCGGGGGCCGAAAAGGGAAGCCGGUGCGAAUCCGGCGCUGUACCCGCAACUGUCAGCGGUGAGUCCCGAUCCGCGAUCCACUGGGGGAAUACCCCUGGGAAGGAGGAUCGGUGGCGACGACCCGCAAGCCAGGAGACCUGCCGUCGCAUGCGUCAUGUCC
rnacentral:ncRNA from 1 species